rnacentral:rRNA from 1 species
AGAGUUUGAUCAUGGCUCAGAUUGAACGCUGGCGGAAUGCUUUACACAUGCAAGUCGAACGAUGAACCUUAGCUUGCUAGGGGGAUUAGUGGCGAACGGGUGAGUAAUAUAUCGGAACGUGCCUUGUAAUGGGGGGUAACUAGUCGAAAGAUUAGCUAAUACCGCAUACGCCCUGAGGGGGAAAGUAGGGGAUCUUCGGACCUUACGUUAUAAGAGCGGCCGAUAUCUGAUUAGCUAGUUGGUGGGGUAAUGGCCUACCAAGGCUUCGAUCAGUAGCUGGUCUGAGAGGACGACCAGCCACACUGGAACUGAGACACGGUCCAGACUCCUACGGGAGGCAGCAGUGGGGAAUUUUGGACAAUGGGCGCAAGCCUGAUCCAGCCAUUCCGCGUGAGUGAAGAAGGCCUUCGGGUUGUAAAGCUCUUUCGCAAGGGAAGAAAACUUACUUUCUAAUAAAGAGUGAGGCUGACGGUACCUUGAUAAGAAGCACCGGCUAACUACGUGCCAGCAGCCGCGGUAAUACGUAGGGUGCGAGCGUUAAUCGGAAUUACUGGGCGUAAAGCGUGCGCAGGCGGUUUGGCAAGUCAGAUGUGAAAUCCCCGAGCUCAACUUGGGAACUGCGUUUGAAACUGCCAGACUAGAAUAUGUCAGAGGGGGGUAGAAUUCCACGUGUAGCAGUGAAAUGCGUAGAGAUGUGGAG